AUGUAUCAAUCUAAUCGAGCAAGAAUUAAGAAGGAAAUCCCUUCCCUCUUGCCCGGUGGUGGGCAAAAAGGCCCCCGAUCGGCCCUCUCGCGCCCUCCUUCUUGCAGCACCAUAACAGUUUGGUAUCAGGUAGCUCAGUUCCUAUCAUGUCUUCAUCGCCGCCCACCCCGUCGCUUCCGCUGCCGACCGUCACCACCGCGCCGCGGGCCAUCUACACCGUGCCGCUGCCCUCCCCGUCCGUGCCGCUGGUCGCAUCCUCCGGUGCCGCCACCGCCCAGAUGCCGGCGCCCUCCACCGCACCACUGGCCGCCGCCUACACCCAGGAGGAGAUCACCGGGGUCCUUAACGACCUCGUCACAGCCGUCUAGGGGAUCCGGCUGUACCUGGCCAGCCCCUACGGUCCACCGCCGCCCCUGCCGCCGACAGCCUCCACCGAGCUGCCGGCCCUGCCAUGGUACUCGCCGCAUCCAGGGGCCUUCGCGGCGUUCGUUGGGACGCUGCAGCCCCAGCUGCAGCUGCCGCCGCCGCCUGCCACUGCCCCGCAAUGGCCACAAUGGCAGGCGCCGGCUUCCACCGCGCCUCCAGCGCCCAUCGCCGCCCCUGCACCAUCGUGGCUGCCGUGGCAGCCGCUGCACCAGGCGGCCUUCGCCGCGCUCGCCAAGCCACUGCAGCAGCCGCUGCAGCUGCCAUCCAUCGCCACCACCGCCUAGCCCUGGCUGCAGUGGCAGCCACCGCUCCUGGCGGCCUCCAUCGCGCCCGGCGCUCCGCCACAACAGCCGGUGCCGCUGCCCGGUGCGCCACCGCCGGUCAGCUCCGGCUCCGCAUCGACCACGCCGGCUGGAGUCCCGCUUCACUAAGUCCAGUCCCUGCCGUCGCCUUCACCGCUUUCGUCUUGGAUCGCUACCCACCACGUGUCGGUGGCGGUGA
rnacentral:rRNA from 1 species